rnacentral:rRNA from 1 species
CCGCACGCGCGCUACACUGAUACGUUCAUCGAGCUUACAACCUUGUCUGAGAGGACUGGGUAAUCUUUUCAAAGCGUAUCGUGAUGGGGCUUGUUCAUUGUAAUUAUUGAACAUCAACGAGGAAUUCCUAGUAAACGCGAGUCAUCAGCUCGCAUUGAUUACGU